AUAUCAAAGAUUUUAUCGCUCAGAGAUGGACUCGCGUCCGAUUAGUUAGUUGGUGAGGUAACGGCUCACCAAGACCGCGAUCGGUAGCCGGAAUGAGAGGUUGAACGGCCACAUUGGGACUGAGACACGGCCCAGACUCCUACGGGAGGCAGCAGUGGGGGAUAUUGCGCAAUGGGGGAAACCCUGACGCAGCAACGCCGCGUGAAGGAUGAAGGUCUCCGGAUUGUAAACUCCUGUUGUUGAGGAAGAUAAUGACGGUACUCAACAAGGAAGUGACGGCUAACUACGUGCCAGCAGCCGCGGUAAAACGUAGGUCACAAGCGUUGUCCGGAAUUACUGGGUGUAAAGGGAGCGCAGGCGGGAUAGCAAGUCAGCUGUGAAAACUAUGGGCUCAACCCAUAAACUGCAGUUGAAACUGUUAUUCUUGAGUGGAGUAGAGGCAAGCGGAAUUCCGAGUGUAGCGGUGAAAUGCGUAGAUAUUCGGAGGAACACCAGUGGCGAAGGCGGCUUGCUGGGCUCUAACUGACGCUGAGGCUCGAAAGCAUGGGUAGCAAACAGGAUUAGAUACCCUGGUAGUCCAUGCCGUAAACGAUGAUUACUAGGUGUUGGAGGAUUGACCCCUUCAGUGCCGCAGUUAACACAAUAAGUAAUCCACCUGGGGAGUACGACCGCAAGGUUGAAACUCAAAGGAAUUGACGGGGGCCCGCACAAGCAGUGGAGUAUGUGGUUUAAUUCGAAGCAACGCGAAGAACCUUACCUGGUCUUGACAUCCCCUUGACCGCUCCUUAAUCGGAGUUUUCCUUCGGGACAAGGGUGACAGGUGGUGCAUGGUUGUCGUCAGCUCGUGUCGUGAGAUGUUGGGUUAAGUCCCGCAACGAGCGCAACCCUUGCUAUUAGUUGCUACGCAAGAGCACUCUAAUAGGACUGCCGUUGACAAAACGGAGGAAGGUGGGGACGACGUCAAAUCAUCAUGCCCCUUAUGACCUGGGCUACACACGUACUACAAUGGACAUUAACAGAGGGAAGCAAUACAGUGAUGUGGAGCAAACCCCUAAAAAUGUUCUCAGUUCAGAUUGCAGGCUGCAACCCGCCUGUAUGAAGAUGGAAUUGCUAGUAAUCGCAGAUCAGCAUGCUGCGGUGAAUACGUUCCCGGGCCUUGCACUCACCGCCCGUCA
rnacentral:rRNA from 1 species